rnacentral:rRNA from 1 species
UACGUAGGGUGCGAGUGUUAAUCGGAAUUACUGGGCGUAAAGCGUGCGCAGGCGGUUUUGUAAGCCAGAUGUGAAAUCCCCGGGCUCAACCUGGGAAUGGCAUUUGGGACUGCAAGGCUCGAGUGCGGCAGAGGAGACUGGAAUUCCUGGUGUAGCAGUGAAAUGCGUAGAGAUCAUGAGGAAGACCAGUGGCGAAGGCGGGUCUCUGGACAGUUCCUGACACUGAGGCACGAAGGCCAGGGGAGCAAACGGG